ensembl:lncRNA
GAAAAGAGCAGGGAAACAUGCUGGCUUGAAUGGGGCAGAGGGGAAUAAUGUAAAAGUGGGCAAGAACAUAAACUAGAUUGGGAUACUGGCACUGAAAGGGCAAUCAGUAAAACUGGAUUGUAAGGGAAAGGGCUGAAAAGAAAGGAAUGAGAUAGAAAGGAUGUUUGUUCAAUUGUUGUUCAAUUUUAUUCUGGAAAUAGCAAAGUCUAGGUACAGAUUUUAGUGUAUGUUUUGAAAUACGUCACUCUCAAGGCAGAAAAAAAACUUAAUGAAAGUUAUAUAUACAAAGAAGUGCUUCCUGGGGAUGCAGACAGAGCAAGUAACUCUAGGAAUGCAUAUAAAUAAAUGAAGCUGCCAAAUGUGGGCUCAAACAUGCACUAAUAUUCAGGGACCUAAGCAAAUCUCUUUCAGUUACCCCAUUAUCAGCAAAGGAAGCCUGGAAACUCUUAGCUUUUAUUAGACCCUUCAUUUGUUGAAUAGCACAUUUCAUUUCUUUUAGCCAAGUUCCUGCAAUUAUGGCCUGAAACUCCCAAUUUAACCCCACAUAGCUUAUUCCAGGUAGUGCCCCACGAGAGGAAUGAAUGAGAUGCAACAGAAAAUAAAUGUGGCUGAGAUCAGCCAGGGAGGACUGGAACCAGAGCUUGAGCAUUAGCUAUAUGUAUAUAUAUCAAAAGAGUUUGGUAAUCUUCUUACUGAAUGAUGCCUGGAGGUAUUCUUGCUCCACUGCUCUAAAUCACAAACCUGCCUCCUGAUGAUGAGGCCAGCACAAGUUAGGUUGUAAAUGUCUGAAUUUAGAUUACCUUUUCAUCUUGAUCUUAAAUUUAGAUUAGAGCUUUGCAAGUUUCUUUUAACAGAACAUGGCUUUUAAAUACUACAUCUGAAAUUAAGACAUACAAGUACCUGCAACAUACACCUACAGUGAUGCAUCAACUCAAGAUUUGGUUAUAUGGCAAGGAUCAUAAAUCAAAACAAGGGUAGCUUCUUGUUUGAUACAAGGGAAGCAUUUUCACCACAGCAACAUGGGAACGAGUUUCCAAGACAGGCUGUGGAAUUUCAGCCUUUUGAGGUUUUCGGGUCCUACCCAAAGGCCUGAGAAACUUGGUCUAUAACCUGUGUUGACCCUGAAGAAAGUCCAGCUCUUCCAUUGUGAGAACUGAGGAAAAUCAGUGACGUAGGGACCAAGUUCAAAGCAAACAAAAGGUGAUUCUCCAUACACGUGAGCAUUAGGAAUGCUUUGCCACACACUGUUUGGUGGUCUAGUAGCCAAAGCACGAUGGAAUUACCAGCUAAGUUUAAUGUUAUGUGUGAGAGACUCCUCCACAGCACCACGGUAAAUUCAUCUUUCAAAGCAGGAGGUUCUUCUGGGCAGAUUUAACAUGUAAUGACACUACUGAAGUGUGAUGGUUUUAGUCCUGUAGUUGCAAGAGAACCAAACUUACUGCGGGUACUUUGUUACAUGAUAACUCACUUCUAAUCUCAGCGUUCCCAGAGAGCCUCGGAAGUGAUAACGUUUGAAAUAAAAGCAGCGCAGAAGUUUUGGGUUUACAAGUUCUGAAUGAAAUUCUGGCAUAGGACAAAGGGUUGGAAGGUGCUUUCAUCGAGGGGGAUAAAGCAAAACUCUGAACUGUUGGAAGAGGGAAACGCUGAGGAAGAGCAUCAUGAUGAUGUAACAUGGAGGUUGUCGUUCUAUCAAAGUCAGAAGCAGUUCUACAGCUGCGGGACUCUGACAGACUUUCACGAAAUCCCUUCCAAGGCAGAACUCGAGCCCACGCUUCCUCACGUGCAACAGAAAUCAAACCACUUUCUGGUCUUAUAUCCCACACUGCAUCUCAUAGUACUGCGCAUUGUGAACCGUCUGGCCCAGAACGGUGUCGUCCUCUCCAGAAGCGGCCAAAGGGGCAGAGGGCCCCAUCCCAUCCCAUCCCAUCCCAUCGCGGUGCCCGGUGUGCCGGCUGCAUGGCCGACAGUAGCUGCCGCUGUGCUGGAGGGCUGGCACCCUCCUCGCGGCUUUAAGCGCCUACGGCCUUUUCCCCCCCUCGUGCUUUUCCAUGGGCGGGAGGCGCCUCGGGACGCAGCGCGAAGCCCACACCUGCCCUUCCCGUCCCGCCGCCUUCUGGCGAG